GACAGCUUGGCCGCGUUGGAUUUAGGCUCCAAUCCUCAAGGGCGUGGGUUCAAAUCCCACAGUUGUCA
rnacentral:tRNA from 1 species